AACGAACGCUGGCGGCAGGCUUAACACAUGCAAGUCGAACGCCCCGCAAGGGGAGUGGCAGACGGGUGAGUAACGCGUGGGAACAUACCCUUUUCUACGGAAUAGCCCUGGGAAACUGGAAUUAAUACCGUAUACGCCCUACGGGGGAAAGAUUUAUCGGGGAAGGAUUGGCCCGCGUUGGAUUAGCUAGUUGGUGGGGUAAAGGCCUACCAAGGCGACGAUCCAUAGCUGGUCUGAGAGGAUGAUCAGCCACAUUGGGACUGAGACACGGCCCAAACUCCUACGGGAGGCAGCAGUGGGGAAUAUUGGACAAUGGGCGCGAGCCUGAUCCAGCCAUGCCGCGUGAGUGAUGAAGGCCUUAGGGUUGUAAAGCUCUUUCACCGAUGAAGAUAAUGACGGUAGUCGGAGAAGAAGCCCCGGCUAACUUCGUG
rnacentral:rRNA from 1 species